rnacentral:rRNA from 1 species
UGGGGAAUAUUGCGCAAUGGGCGGAAGCCUGACGCAGCGACGCCGCGUGGAGGAUGAAGGCCUUCGGGUUGUAAACUCCUUUUCUUGGGGAAAAUGAUAAUGGUACCCAAGGAAUAAGCCACGGCUAACUCUGUGCCAGCAGCCGCGGUAAGACAGAGGUGGCGAGCGUUGUUCGGAAUCACUGGGCUUAAAGGGCGAGUAGGCGGUGGGGCAAGUCUGAGGUGGAAUCCUAUGGCUUAACCAUAGAACUGCCUUAGAAACUGUUUCACUUGAGUCAGUGAGGGGAGGGCGGAAUUCCUAGUGUAGCGGUGAAAUGCGUAGAUAUCAGGAGGAAGGCCUGUGGCGAAGGCGGCCCUCUGGCACUGUACUGACGCUGAGGCGCGAAAGCGUGGGGAGCAAACAG